rnacentral:rRNA from 1 species
UGUCCUUGAGGUGAAAGAUCCGUCGGUCCGGGAUGGGCAUGCGGCGCAUUAGCUGGUUGGCGGGGCAACGGCCCACCAAGGCGACGAUGCGUAGGGGUUCUGAGAGGAAGGUCCCCCACACUGGUACUGAGACACGGACCAGACUCCUACGGGAGGCAGCAGUGAGGAAUAUUGGUCAAUGGACGAUAGUCUGAACCAGCCAAGUCGCGUGCGGGAUGAAGGCCCUCCGGGUCGUAAACCGCUUUAGCCGGGGAGUAACGUGGGGGACGUGUCCCUCAGUGAGAGUACCCGGAGAAUAAGCAUCGGCUAACUCCGUGCCAGCAGCCGCGGUAAUACGGAGGAUGCGAGCGUUAUCCGGAUUUAUUGGGUUUAAAGGGUGCGCAGGCGGCAGUUCAAGUCAGCGGUCAAAAUUCGGGGCUCAACCCCGUCUCGCCGUUGAAACUGUGCUGCUCGAGUUCGUGCGAGGAUGGCGGAAUGCGCGGUGUAGCGGUGAAAUGCAUAGAUAUCGCGCAGAACCCCGAUUGCGAAGGCAGCUGUCCAGCACGCGACUGACGCUCAUGCACGAAAGCGUGGGUAUCGA